GUCACGUGCUCCGCUCCUCGCACUCCGUCCGUCGGUGCCGCAACGCUGGAGCUCCGUGGGCCCGGAUACUCGACAUGCUCGUCGUCUACUUGUAACCGCGCCAGUGAAAAUGGGAGACGAAGUGAAAGCAUGCAAGGCCAACACCGAGUUGGUUCCUCUUAAGAUUGUGCUCUUCCUCUGGUACGGAGAAAAUUUUUGGCAUGGAUGGAUGCUACCAGCCAUUCCGGCGCUCUGGGCAAGGUCGCCACUAUGGUCACAGGACAGUGCCUUCACUGUGGGGAACUGGUUGACACCUAGCACAUGGCGUGGGCCUUCCAAGAUGACGCCGCUAUUACUUCUAACCCAAACCCUAGACGAGAGGACUGGGAGCCGACUGUGCUCGCUUCUCAUACUCUCAGGCCCAGCAGGCCUUGGUCCAGAGAGCCAAGACGGCGGCUUUAACUGAUGGGGUCCCGGAAUAAAGACUCCACCUAGUCUGUAGGGACCUCUGACGAGGUCCUAAGCCUCUCUUUUGCAAAUAAAUGUUUGUCAACACCA